rnacentral:rRNA from 1 species
UGCGGUUAAAAAGCUCGUAGUUGGAUUUCUGUUGAGGUCGGGCGGUGUACACCUCGUGUAUUAUUUGCUUCGGUCUCGGCAUCCUCUUGGGGAACGUACGGACCUUCAUUGGACUGUGCGAGAUUCAAGACUUUUACUUUGAGGAAAUUAGAGUGUUCACGGCGGGCAAGUGCUUUGAAUACAUUAGCAUGGAAUAAUAAUAUAGGACCUUCGUUCUAUUUUGUUGGUUUCUAGAACUUAGGUAAUGAUUAAUAGGGACAAUUGGGGGCAUUCGUAUUAACGCGUCAGAGGUGGAAUUCUUGGAUUGCGUUACGACGAACUACUGCGAAAGCAUUUGCCAAAGAUGUUUUCAUUGAUCAAGAACGAAAGUAUGGGGAUCGAAGACGCUUAGAUACCGUCGUAGUCUAUACCAUAAACUAUGCCAACUAGGGAUUGGACGGGUUAUCCUAUGUGGCUCGUUCAGCACCUUAUGAGAAAUCAAAGUUUUUGGGUUCCGGGGGGAGUAUGGUCGCAAGGCUGAAACUUAAAGGAAUUGACGGAAGGGCACCACCAGGAGUGGAGCCUGCGGCUUAAAUUUGACUCAACACGGGA